CAUGGUGACCAGUGCUGUGAAGAGUGUCUGUCCUUCGUGAAGGUAGUGGAAGUGAAGUACUGCCGGGUCAGGAACAAGAUCUACCGGGAGGGAGACAUGUGGUCGUCUGUGAACUGCACCCUGUGUGCCUGUAUCAAUGGGGCCAUCGAGUGCCAGCCAAAGCAGUGUGUGCCAAUCAUCAGUUGCCCCUCG